UAUAUAUAUAUAUAUAUUUUCUCUAACUGGAUUUAACUUUUUUUUAGUUAAGUUGAGCUCAUUCUGCACUGCAACCAACGCAGAUAUGGAGGCAGGGAAGGAGCAGCAGCCAGAGUGUAGAUUAUGCGAUCUGUGUGAUGGGUGGGGGACUGUCAGCUUGCCGUCAUCCUGGGUAAUAGGUGAAAAGAUGGGUGAGUUGCCAGAACUAGCCUUCUGCCAUGUUAAUUACUGGAGUGGGGAGAAAAGGAUUGGGGCAUUGCUCGGAGGAGGAGAGUCAGAAGCACUAUUGUCAGAUUGUGUGACUGACAGUCACUCUAGACUGUUGUAGUCUUUUGUAGUAGUCACAAACGCUUGCCAAAGUUAGCGUUCAUAUUUGUGUUUUGCAUUUUUUUUUUUUUUUAAAACCAAAAACUGCACUUUUAUUGCUUUCAUCGUUGAUAGGUUUUACUGUUUUAAACACUCAUAUUGGUGUUCAGCAAAGUCUCCCGAGUAUAACAAUACCCCCUUGAAAAGCCACCUUACCGGCGAAACGCGCGUCGGGUUUUUUUUCUUUGAUCCCUCCUAAACACCUUAAUACCCUGCCGAUGCAAAGAUUAUUCUUUAUUUGAAAACCUAUACUUUGUUUAAGAUUUCUUCAGACAUUAGGUGUUUUGGGGGAUAAAUUUAUGACUUAGCCGUUUAUACCACGCUUGUAAUAUACCGACAUCUAACAAAGAUAUCACAGGAUACCAGUUUGGAAGCUUCUAUUUAGACGUUAGCUAGCCAGCUUGAUAACUUGGUUUACUCUUUAGAGAGGUGCCCUUGAAGGCACAGUUAUUUACUAUAGAUAAUUUCUGCUUUCUCUCUUUCUUUUCAAGUACCUGCAGCUAGCUUCUCUGUCUGUUAGGUGCCCACGAAGGCACAGAUACACUUCUAUCUUCCAACUAUAUCCACUUUUGGGGUCUUUACAGUAUGGAUCAUUGUUUAGAAGUUAUCAUAUAUGUAUCCUGGUAUUACGUUUAAGAACAAUUAACUGCAGUCUAAUAGCCAGAUUAGAUGACUCUGCUUAUGUCGUUAUAUUACUAGAACGUCUAACUCUUGUUCGUUCUGACUAUAGCUUACAGUAACAGACGUGUUUUAUCCCAUGUUGCCAAGCCGAAUUAAAAAUACUUGGGAUAUAUUUAGAAAUUAUUGUAUUAGACGUUUCCUCUGUUAUCUUUAAAGCUUGAAUUACUUACAAACUGCAAUAGUAUCACUACAGCAGACGCACUUCUCUUUUUCUUUUGCUAUAAGAAUACUUUAGACACAUUGGAAGUAUUCUUGGUAAAUCACAGUAGCAAAACAUUUUUUACUGUUUGCUAAAUUUCAUUAACUGUAACAAAUAUUGUAGAUACAUUGCAACAGUAUCGUCAUAGUAGCCAGUAUCUAUUUAUUUAUACAACGUUGUUAUUCACAUCUUUGAUAUUUAAACACUGGCUCUUCGUUUUGUUUUUAAAAUCUAACGUUUCUCUUAUCUUUUCGUGUCUUGGUAUGUACAUAUCUAGACAGAUCAGUAUUGUAUUAUAUAUGUGAAAUGAUCACUUUAUAUUGCGUUCACCAUUAAAAGUUUAGUUUUAAAUACACACAUUUCCUUGGUAGUGCUCUCUUUCCUCCUUUCUUAAAUUUGGGGUUUUUUUUGUUU